UUUAUGUGCAUAACCCUCUGAACCAGCCCAGCAGCCCAGUGUCACCUUCUGCUACACAGAAAGAGAGAAGGGAAGGUUGUGCAAGAAGAGAUGCUUUAGCUUUCCUUUCAAUUUUUUUUCUUCCUCACUCCCCUAUUGGAAGGAAAGAAAAUACAAGCACAAAGAAGGUACCACUUAUUUUACCAAAACUUCAAAAGACACCAAAUCCAGAUGAAUCUCAAAAUUUAUCGUGACUCCCAGCAGGCCCAGCAACAGUGAGGAAGAAGCUGCCCAGCAGUAGCUUUAGCCCUCCCGCAGGAUAAACACUCACCAAGUCUGAGUGCUUGGAUGGCCAAAAUCACCCCAGUCAGGCCUCUGAACCAACCAAAUAACUCAAUCAACAACAA